rnacentral:rRNA from 1 species
AUUGAACGCUGGCGGCAUGCCUUACACAUGCAAGUCGAACGGCAGCACGGGGGCGAACCCUGGUGGCGAGUGGCGAACGGGUGAGUAACAUAUCGGAACGUGCCCUGGAGUGGGGGAGUAACUAGUCGAAAGAUUAGCUAAUACCGCAUACGAUCUACGGAUGAAAGUAGGGGGAUCGCAAGACCUCAUGCUCGUGGAGCGGCCGAUAUCUGAUUAGCAGUUGGUGGGGUAAAGGCCUACCAAGGCAUCGAUCAGUAGCUGGUCUGAGAGGACGACCAGCCACACUGGGACUGAGACACGGCCCAGACUCCUACGGGAGGCAGCAGUGGGGAAUUUUGGACAAUGGGCGCAAGCCUGAUCCAGCAAUGCCGCGUGAGUG